rnacentral:tRNA from 1 species
GAGGGUAUAGCUCAGUGGUAGAGCACGUGCUUAGCAUGCACGAGGUCCUGGGCUCAAUCCUCAGUACCUUUA